rnacentral:tRNA from 1 species
GCUCUUCUGGUGAAAUUGGUAGACACAUUGGUUUUAGGAACCAAUGCUUAUAGCGUGAGGGUUCAAGUCCCUCGAAGAGUA